GUGCUCGCUUUGGCAGCACAUAUACUAAAAUUGGAACGAUACAGGGAGAUUAGCAUGGCUCCUACAAAGGGAUAACAGGCAAAUUCGUCAAGUGUUCCAUAUUUUU